rnacentral:sRNA from 1 species
UUCGUCUGGAGUUUAUGAGGAUGAGAACCUCCGAAGGAGGUUUGAGCCGAGCGCAGCGAGACCACGUUGCUUUAGCAACGGCCCGUAGGGCAAGCAUCGUAGAUGCGCGUAAUCCUCUCUCGCCGACCA